UGAGAAAGGACCAUCACAAUGAGGAUGUGCUGUUUAAUUUAAUUUAAUGCUGCUACUCCUGGUACUACAUUGCACUUCAGGAAUGAUGUCAGGAGAAAUAGAUAAAACUGAGAAUCAUAAAGGCUUCUGCUGGAAUGCAAAGUUCCUAGCUCAAGAUCAAUUAUCCAAGGACAUCAAGAAGAAAAAGACAGUCACAGUAUUUGUCUGCCUCUCAAACUACCCAAGAUGUGAAACUGGUUUUGCUUGCAGUGACAUGCCUGAGGUUUCUUGACUCGUGAGUUUGGCCUAUGAGACAGGACAUCCUGUGUGAUUUCACCAAGUCCAUAUGGUUCUCCAGAGCUUUUCCCAAGGUGAGCGUUAGAGAACAUCAAAUGCUGCUCAA